rnacentral:rRNA from 2 species
AGACCCGAAACCCGGUGAUCUAGCCAUGGGCAGGUUGAAGGUUGGGUAACACUAACUGGAGGACCGAACCGACUAAUGUUGAAAAAUUAGCGGAUGACCUGUGGCUGGGGGUGAAAGGCCAAUCAAACCGGGAGAUAGCUGGUUCUCCCCGAAAGCUAUUUAGGUAGCGCCUCGUGAAUUCAUCUCCGGGGGUAGAGCACUGUUUCGGCUAGGGGGCCAUCCCGGCUUACCAACCCGAUGCAAACUGCGAAUACCGGAGAAUGUUAUCACGGGAGACACACGGCGGGUGCUAACGUCCGUCGUGAAGAGGGAAACAACCCAGACCGCCAGCUAAGGUCCCAAAGUCAUGGUUAAGUGGGAAACGAUGUGGGAAGGCCCAGACAGCCAGGAUGUUGGCUUAGAAGCAGCCAUCAUUUAAAGAAAGCGUAAUAGCUCACUGGUCGAGUCGGCCUGCGCGGAAGAUGUAACGGGGCUAAACCAUGCACCGAAGCUGCGGCAGCGAACGUAUCACUUAAAGCGAUUCAGCGGGUUACGAUUGACGGAGCGAAGCGACGUCAAAGCGUAUACAAAGUCGAGUCGGUUUAAGGAUACGUUCGUUGGGUAGGGGAGCGUUCUGUAAGCCUGUGAAGGUGGCCUGUGAGGGUUGCUGGAGGUAUCAGAAGUGCGAAUGCUGACAUAAGUAACGA